GCAUUAAGGAUGUGCAACAGUGGUAGGGGAGCGUUGUGUAAGCUGUUGAAGGUGUGUCGAGAGGCAUGCUGGAGGUAUCACAAGUGCGAAUGCUGACAUGAGUAACGAUAAUGGGGGUGAAAAACCCCCACGCCGGAAGACCAAGGGUUCCUAUCCCAUGCUAAUCAGGGUAGGGUAAGUCGGCCCCUAAGGCGAGGCCGAAAGGCGUAGUCGAUGGGAAACGGGUUAAUAUUCCCGUACUUAAAUAUACUGCGAUGGGGUGACGGAGAAGGCUAGGCAAGCGCGGCGUUGGUAGUCCGCGUGAAAGUGAGUAGGUUGAGAGUUUAGGCAAAUCCGGACUCUUAAGACUGAGACACGAGACGAGGUUCUAAGGAACCGAAGUUGUUGAUGCCAUGCUUCCAGGAAAAUCCUCUAAGCUUCAGGUAUAUGAGAACCGUACCCGAAACCGACACAGGUGGUCAGGUAGAGAAUACUAAGGCGCUUGAGAGAACUCGGGUGAAGGAACUAGGCAAAAUAGUACCGUAACUUCGGGAGAAGGUACGCCACUGUUGGUGAAGACUUCGCGUCGUAAGCUGAUAGUGGUCGCAGUGACCAGGUGGCUGGGACUGUUUAUUAAAAACACAGCACUCUGCUAAAACGAAAGUUGACGUAUAGGGUGUGACACCUGCCCGGUGCCGGAAGGUUAAUUGAUGGGGUUAGGAUUCGUCCGAAGCUCUUGAUCGAAGCCCCGGUAAACGGCGGCCGUAACUAUAACGGUCCUAAGGUAGCGAAAUUCCUUGUCGGGUAAGUUCCGACCUGCACGAAUGGUGUAACCAUGGCCACGCUGUCUCCACCCGAGACUCAGUGAAAUUGAAAUCGCUGUGAAGAUGCAGUGUACCCGCGGCUAGACGGAAAGACCCCGUGAACCUUUACUACAGCUUGGCACUGAACAUUGAACCUACAUGUGUAGGAUAGGUGGGAGGCUAUGAAGCGCAGACGCCAGUUUGCGUGGAGCCAACCUUGAAAUACCACCCUUGUAUGUUUGAUGUUCUAACGUUGCCCCAUUAUCUGGGGUGCGGACAGUGCCUGGUGGGUAGUUUGACUGGGGCGGUCUCCUCCCAAAGAGUAACGGAGGAGCACGAAGGUUGGCUAAGUACGGUCGGACAUCGUACGGUUAGUGCAAAGGCAUAAGCCAGCUUAACUGCGAGACAGACACGUCGAGCAGGUGCGAAAGCAGGUCUUAGUGAUCCGGUGGUUCUGAAUGGAAGGGCCAUCGCUCAACGGAUAAAAGGUACUCCGGGGAUAACAGGCUGAUACCGCCCAAGAGUUCAUAUCGACGGCGGUGUUUGGCACCUCGAUGUCGGCUCAUCACAUCCUGGGGCUGAAGUCGGUCCCAAGGGUAUGGCUGUUCGCCAUUUAAAGUGGUACGCGAGCUGGGUUUAGAACGUCGUGAGACAGUUCGGUCCCUAUCUGCCGUGGGCGUUUGAGAGUUGAGAGGAGUUGCUCCUAGUACGAGAGGACCGGAGUGAACGAACCGCUGGUGUUCGGGUUGUCAUGCCAAUGGCACUGCCCGGUAGCUACGUUCGGAAUCGAUAACCGCUGAAAGCAUCUAAGCGGGAAGCGAGCCUCAAGAUGAGCUCUCACUGGAGUGUAAUCUCCCUAAAGGGUUGUUGAAGACUACAACGUUGAUAGGCGGGGUGUGGAAGCGCAGUAAUGUGUUGAGCUAACCCGUACUAAUUGCCCGUGAGGCUUAACCAUACAACACCAAAGCAUUAUGGUGUUGGAAUGAAG
rnacentral:rRNA from 1 species